rnacentral:rRNA from 1 species
GACGUAGGGGGCGAGCGUUGUCCGGAUUCAUUGGGCGUAAAGCGCGCGCAGGCGGCCCGGUAAGUCGGAUGUGAAAUCCCACGGCUCAACCGUGGAGCUGCAUUCGAUACUGUCGGGCUAGAGGCAGGUAGGGGAGAUCGGAAUUCCUGGUGUAGCGGUGAAAUGCGCAGAUAUCAGGAGGAACACCGGUGGCGAAGGCGGAUCUCUGGGCCUGUCCUGACGCUCAGGCGCGAAAGCUAGGGGAGCGAACAGG